rnacentral:lncRNA from 1 species
CAGCUUCACGUCGCCUUACUGUUAGAGAUCAGGAACCUCGCUGCAAAGCUCCCUGUCGUGCACCAACAAAGUCUUCUUUUUAAUUAAAGGAUUCCUGUAGAGACAAUUUACAAGUUAAAUGGCAUUAGGAAGACUUAAACUUCAUUUUCAAAACGACAAGUACAGUAAGUUUUCAUCCAUGUGAAGAUUGCUUUCAUUUAUGGAUCGACAGAUAAGAUGCUACUCAUUCAUUGUACCAAAAUAUAUUCCUGGUCAAUCAAUUACCGACAAAAACACAAAUGCCAAACAAAGUUAUUGAAUAGAUCUAAAAAAUUACCGAUAAACACAAAUGUCAAUCAAUUACCGAUAAGAUCUAAAAUGAAUGCUACUCAUUCAUUUUCAAAACAUACACUGCACAGUGAAGAACACCAAGACAGACGUAAUUUGUAUAGAUCUAAAAAAUUGCCUAACUUCUACAAAAAGUUAUUGAAUAACAUAUAAAAAGUUGGCAUUGUUUGUUUGUGAGAACUUCAAUUAAAUGAAACUGAGUUAGAAUGUUUUCUGUUAAGAGUUAUAAUGUUUUAAUUCAGAAACAUUCUCUAACAGAAAAUUAAGGUUACAUUAAAAAAAUAAGAACUUGUCAUCCUUAUUUCAAAAUAUGUCCAAAUAUUCUUAAUUUUCAUUCAAGAUUACUGAAGAACUCUUAAAUAAAAUAUUUUAUAAAACUAAUAAAUAUUAUCAGAUUAAUAAUUAGUUUUUUUUAUGAAAAUUUUAAUUAAUUAAGAUUGAAUUAUAGUGUUUUUUAAUAGACUUACAAUUCAAUAACGAAAAACACUAUAUGCACACAUGAAACCCUAUAACCCUACAUACAUAAUUAAACUAAAAACAAUGUAAUCCAUUUGACUGGAUUGAUCUAUCUGGGUUUUGGUGAACAGCUCAAAAAUUAGAAUAGUCAACUGUCAAUUAGGAUAUUUUUGUUAUAUUAAAAAGUAAGGUUUUCCUUUUAAACAUUUUGAAAAUUAGGAGUGCUAUCCAGAAAAAAUCCAAAACUUAAAAAGUUCUUCUUAUUUAAUUGAUAUGCAUAUUUGCACAACUUCUAUGAUUCAAUCCACAGAGAGAACAAGAACCAUGUGGGUGGGUGCACACACAUUCAGUUUCAUGCCCAUCUCUAACUCUUAUAACUAGGCUUCCAGAUUUCCCAUGCCACAGUAAGGUACUUAAAAAAAGUAAUGGCAUAUCCCAUCAAGCCAUGCCUUUGUUGGCACAUUUUUAGGACGUGCAUAUUAAAUAAUGACUCCAAGUGUUGUUGUCAUCAAUUUCACACAAUCGCAUUUUAUUAUAAACAGCGGCAUGGCAGCAUACCUAAAAAUUCACCAAUCCCAACUUGAUGACAACCACAUAAACAUGCAGACAUAGGACCACUAAUACCUAUAUGGAUGAGUUCAAAGUUUUCACAUGCAUUUAGACAAUGCAGGUACAAGAACAUCAAAUGCAAAAUCACAUGCACACACCUACAUAUAUUUCAUAUGCUGAUGUUAACAAAUUGUUUAUGACUAUUUCCACUCGUCAUUUAAUGCUUUUUUUUCUUAAGAAAUAUGCUGCAGUAAAGUUCCUUUUGUAAAAGUUCCAUUACCAUUUUAACUAAUUCCAUUCCUCUUACUCCUAAGUAUAUUUCCUAUAUGAUGUUACAUGAUCCAACUCUUCCAUGUUUUACAAUAAAUUGUUGUCGAUGGUCACUCACAUUUCCUAGUUUGAAAACACAUUUAACUUCAUCUGCCUAACUCGAAGAUAGGCAAAUGCUGUCAUGUCCAGACGCCAGCCAAGAAAACACACUGUUUCUUACUGGUAAGAGUGACUAUAUGAAUAUUACCAAAUAAAUACAGUCCUGAGCUUGUGUAAAUCCCAUUAAGUACAGUCUGUUCAUGACUUAUAGAAGGGAAAUCAAGAUAUAGGAUCACGAGAAAAUAAAAAGUUUCUUAAAACUAAAUUAGGAAAAUCCAGAAUUAUUGUGGUCAGCCCAUGGAUCAUGCACCUUUAUGGAAAAUAAAAAGUUCAUUGGCAUGCAUACCUAACAUAUAAAAUGUUCAUCUGCAAUUUUGAGCUCACUUAGGGCAUCUCUCCAGCAAAACCAACUUCGUAUGCUUGACAGUUGAAAUGAACAGAGCUUUCAUUGCCAACCACUUUUUCAUAUUAUAAAACAAAAACCUGCAAUGUUGCAAUUAUUUGGAGUCAGCAAAUAUAUUUUCAUUAAAAAAAUCCAAAAAUCAACAUGAACCCUUCUUUAAGAGGCCUAAUGUGCUAAAAUGCAGUUUAAACUUGCAGAAUGAAUGCAAAACAUCAUUGUCCUAAAAUUCAUCAGGUCAGGUUCAUGAUUUUGUUUGUUUGAAAGGUGAAGCACCACCUUCUUGUUAGGGUGGACAAGGGGGGCUAGACAUUUCAGACAAACAAGUACUGUAUUGAAAACUAGGAGUAGAUUUGCAAAAAGCAUCUAAAUUGAAGGAAUGCGCAUCCAAUUUCGCUUAAUGUUUCUUGAGCCUAUCUUCUCCUCACACCACUAAUUCUAAUCAACUCAUCUAAUCUGACCCAAGUAUCCAUUGGUCAUGAAAGAAUUCAUGAACAGAAAAUUGGACUUCACAUAAAAGACUAAUUGUUGUUAAUAUCUAUCUUGGGAAGGGGAAGAAACUGUCACUUUUUUGUGUGUGGGAUCUUUUAGCAGCUCAUCAUCUAGUACAUUGAGAAUAUUAGCAAUCUAGUUUCACAAAGACAUGAAGUGACUUAGAAAAAGUAGAGUAGAAGUGUCGAACAUUACAAAAAGAAGUGGAACAUUACUAUAAGCAGUUGGAUCAAACCCAUCAAAUACUUCUUGAUUGCUGCAACAAAUUAUAUGUGUAAUUGGUUCUGCAAUGCUGAAAGCCAAACAGGCUAUUAGCAUGCAUAUAUGUUAUUUUCAUGUCAUUUUGACCUGGUAGAACUUUAUAUGGUACUAUAACUAAUUUUUAGUUGGUUCUCUUUAAUCCUGUUAACACUUUUUUCCACAUUCGAUUCUUUCUCAAACAUCAUCAAUACAUAUCCCUAUCAGAUGAAAAAGAGAGAAAGUUGCCUUAAGCCAGACAACCAACAUUGUCUUGAGCAUGAAUCUUAACCAUUUCAAUGGCGAAAAAAAGAUUCUUAUAACUGAAUCCAAAUAGUUGGGACAUUACCACUCGUAAAAAGUUAUUUAAAUAGCACAGUAAAUUAGCCUAAAUUACUGAAUUAAUCUUCUGCAAUAAGGCAUGCAUUCUCCUAAUUGCUCCUUACGUUCAUUCUGAAAUUGCCCAUCUCAACAUUACCUAGCCCUCUUAAUAUUAAAAUAUGUCCUUACUGCUAUAAUGCCUCUAUAAUAAUCAACCUCAAAUGUUGAUUAACUCUUUUUUCACACAUCUCACAUCCAUUCUGAAAUUUAUGGUACGCACAAGUCUCAGCAUUGUCUAACCCUCAAUAUCAAAAUUCAUUCUUACUGUUAUAAGAAUUCUAUGGUCACCAACUUCAAAUGUCAAUUAACUGUGUCCACACUUAUCCUAGAUUCAGUGCUCCUGUACUCAAGAAAAUGUGACAACUUAUUCUCACCAAGCCUCCAUACCUAAGCUCAAAAGCAAAAUUUCAGCAUUAAAAGACCAUCUAGGCAAUGUUAUCAAGCACACAUCCUAAAUCAAUUUUGAGCCUUGCCUCAAAAAAGAGUCCAAUGAUUCAAUGAACCAUACCUUAGGCAUGCACCUAAUGAAAUCUUUCAAAAGGUGAACCUCUCUAACACUUAGUUCCAACAUAAUUUAAUUCUACCACUUAAAUGUGACAAUAUUUAAUUCUACCAUUAUUGCUCACUACGACCACUAUGCAAUACAAAAGUUGGUAUUAAUUUAUUUGUGAACAGAGUAAAUCCUCGGUUCCUUGCAAAGGAUAGAAAAACCAACCAGAGAAGUUUUUCCUUUAUUAAAAGAAAAAAAAAGAAUCAAAUUUAACACUUGAUUGUGCAGAUAUUGACAAAUGGCAAUUACAUCAAUUCUAGAAUUAUUUUGGUUUCAAAUUUAUUUUUCAGAAGUAAUGACCCCUUGCUUCAAUAAGGUGCAUGCCUGGCUUCAUGUCUUAUGCCUAAGAGGCUAAGACCCAAUAGUUCUUGGCACCACAAGGCACCUUGAGCCUUCAAAAACUCACGUCUGACCAGCAACUGACCUUCUACAACAUGACUAUAAAAGCUUUCCAUUUCUCAAGCUAGAGAAACUAAUCAGAAAGUAAAUUAAAUAUUUCACAUUUUUUUCGAUUAUUAAAAGAUUAUAUAAUAUGGACACCUAUAUUGUCAAUAGUAGUUUGGCUUAAACAAUGAGUACCUGGAAAAUGUCAGGACUGCUACAACCAGGGACCAUGGAACACAAAAAAUCAUGAUUCCAGUAAUUAGGUAGGGCCAUCAACAACUAUAUGAUUAAUUACAGCAGUUAAGGUUAAGGAUUAUCUUCUGUAAUAGGUCUACAUGCUUGCUUUUGCUAGCAAGCUUAGCAUGACUAGUUCAAUCUAUUGAUCAUCUUGAGGUGCUUUCAUUUAAAAUGCACACAUCUUACAACCAUAAUUUAGCUAACUCCUCAAUAUCAGAGAGCAAUUACAGUUGAAGUUUUAGCAUGACAAACACACAACAAAAACUGUGCAUAUAUGCACAGAUUAGCAACAUAUUCAUCAUCCACAUGGUAGAGGCAUAACGAACAUCACUUCUUCCAUAGGCAUUAGUUGUCAAUGUUUCCCAGAAUAAUGUUUUAUGUCUGUCUAUACCAUAUUAGUUUAUAGUGAGUUAACAUGUGCACAUCCACAAAGGAUGUCACUAUUGUUUUGCAGCAUAUUCUUGGGAAAUAUUAGCUCAAUCUUUGAACUACAUUAGACUUGGAAUAAUAUUGUGCUGCGUUUAUUUUGAUUUUGUCCGAAAUUAAUAUAUCGUUUUCACAAGAAGAAAAGAAAAAAAAUCCCAAGAAUUAUGGCUAAAUUGUUUCUUAUCGGUAAGAAUAUUAGAAUUGGAGUUUGAGCAACGCCCUCCAGUUUCUCAACCAUUCAUUACCAAGUUGUUUGAUGUUGUUGUCAAGCGUUUUAGGGUUAAAGUUUGAGCAACCAACGCAUUUUCUUGAUCAAUUAGAACGGUGGGAAAUGAAAACAUUAAAGAUCGACAGGAAAGAAAGUAGGGUUUUCCGGCGCUGGACUGAGAGACGAGUGCAUCGAGGCAAAAGAAAAGACCAAGAAUUAUAACCAAAUUGUGUGUUUGUUGUUGUUGCUAAACGUAUUAAGGUUCGACGUUGGGCAACUAAUAUACUUUCUUGAAAGAUCAGAAUUGUGGGAGAUGAAAAGAUUAGAGAUCGACGGGAAAGAAAGUAGGGUUCUCCGGCGGUGGACUCAAGAGAGUGAAUCAAGGAAAAAGAAAAGAUCAAGAAUCAUGUAUAAAUUGUUUCUUGUUGUCGUUAAUCACAUUAGACUUAGGGUUUGGGCAACGGCCAUCGUUUCUUGGUCAAAACAGAACCAUAGGAGAAGACCCGAUUACAGAUCAACGGUGAAAAGAAAUAGGGUUUCGAAGAAGUGAUCGAGGAGGAGGCUUACACGAAGGGCGGCUGGAUGAGAGAGGCAGUGCCAUGGACGACGCGGUCAAUUUCGAAGACCUUCUCCUCCACCUUGAGAUGCUCCAGCUAUGUCAUGGUGAGCCUUGUCUGCCGUCGGAAGAAGAGGAGGCGACAGUAUCUGGGUGAGGAGGAGAAGAAGGAAAACGGAUGGAAGAAGCCUCCAUAAAGAUGGAACCACCACCGCUUCUCGGAAGGCCGGAGGAAUCGCCGGCAGUUUUGCCCCAUCAUCUCCUUUCUUGCCCGCCCUCUCGUGCCUCGUGGCCCGUCCACGGGCAAUGAGAAUGUAUUUAAGAGAUGCAAACCCAAAACCCGAUAAGAGAUACAAAUCCAAAACCCGAUAUCGGAUCCCUAAUGUAUUGGAUUCGGAUUCAAGUUGCUCACUUGUACCCGACUUGUUCCCACCGCAAGCCGAU